rnacentral:ncRNA from 1 species
CUCUGUUCCAGAUGGUACAGGGCGAGAGGAG